UACAGAGGUGGCAAGCGUUGUUCGGAAUUACUGGGCGUAAAGGGCGCGUAGGCGGCCUUCUAAGUCAGACGUGAAGUCCCCCGGCUUAACCUGGGAACUGCGUCUGAUACUGGGAGGCUUGAGUAUGGGAGAGGGAUGUAGAAUUCCAGGUGUAGCGGUGAAAUGCGUAGAUAUCUGGAGGAAUACCGGUGGCGAAGGCGGCCCCCUGGGCCAAUACUGACGCUCAGGCACGAAAGCGUGGGGAGCAAACAGG
rnacentral:rRNA from 1 species